GACACAUGUGCGUCCCUCCUGAAGCUGCGCUCUCAAGAGGACAGCCUUCCCCAAAUAGAGACAAGUCUUUGGUUGGUCGAGGGUAUACAAGUAGCUGCGCUCCCCUGCUAGAACCUCCAAACAAGCUCUCAAGAAUACUCUUCUCAAGGGCGCUGGCAGCCUGGAUGACUUAAACAUCUGGUCAGUGCCACAUAGGAUUCAUGCAUGCUUUUAAUU
rnacentral:snRNA from 1 species